UGAGGCAAGAAGUGAUAUGGCUGGGCAGCAGAAAGGAAUAUAAGGUGAGAGGAGACAGGAAUUUGCUGUCUUAUAGAGGAUCUGUCAGGCUGAGAAGUUGGUGAGGUAAGAGGUGGUAGCUGUGGCUUGCUCUGCUUCUCUGAUCUUUCAGCUCCAGUUUUUUAUUAUAUGACCAUUUAAGUUUCGUGCAACAUAACUCCCUCUUAAAGCUAUGAAAGAAUUUCUAGGGCUAGCACGAUAUCUCAGAUAUCUCUGCAGAUAAAGGCACUUGCCACCAAGCCUGCACUUGAUCAAGUUGGAUCCCUAGGAUCCACAUGGUAGGAGAGAAUUAGCUCUUAAAAGUUGUCCUCUGACCUAUACAUACAUACUGUAGUGCAUGUCCACAUGCAUGUGUGCAUAAACACACACACACACACUCACACACACUCACACUCUAAAAGGGUGUUUUGGCUGCAGAUGUAGCUCAAUAGAACACUUGCCCUAACAGGCACAAGGUCCAAAGUUCAGCCUCCAGCACUACACCAAAAAGGGGUGGUGUUUGUACCACCAGAUAAAACUGGAUGGCAGAGAAACUUCAGCCAGCCCACAGUUACUAGGUAGGCAGAGAGCAACCUUCAGGGGGCAGGUGGUAUAGAUGAGACCAGACCCUGUCGGGGCUGUGGGCAAGCAGGGUUCCUGCAGAGGUGGGCGUUCAUUGUCGGUGUGAAGUGAGCCAAAGCUGAGUGCCAGGUUAAUUGGAUGGGGUACGUUAUACUGCUGGUAUCAGGAGCAAAGACAUCUAAGGAAACAUGAUACUGCCAUUGCUGGACCCUGAAAAAGUCUUUACAGGGAUACUGAUACUGCAUUGAGCAACUCUUAGGAAUAAUGGCUCCAUACUAACUGUGGAACCAACAACCUCUGCAGAACACCCCCAAGGGUUUCUCUGCGUAGUUUUGCGCCUUUCCUGAAGCUCACUUGGUAGC